UACGUAGGGUGCGAGCGUUAAUCGGAAUUACUGGGCGUAAAGCGUGCGCAGGCGGUUUUGUAAGCCAGAUGUGAAAUCCCCGGGCUUAACCUGGGAAUGGCAUUUGGGACUGCAAGGCUUGAGUUUGGCAGAGGAGACUGGAAUUCCCGGUGUAGCAGUGAAAUGCGUAGAUAUCGGGAGGAAUACCGAUGGCGAAGGCAGGUCUCUGGGCUAUAACUGACGCUCAUGCACGAAAGCGUGGGGAGCAAACAGG
rnacentral:rRNA from 1 species